UGUGUGCGGUGUGUGUGUGUGUGUGUGUGUGUGUGUGUGUGCGGUGUGUGUGUGUGUGUGUGCUGUGUGUGUGUAAGUUUUGUGAUGCAAACUGUUGCUAAAAGCAGCGGAGGAAACAUGACAUUUCCUGUUUUGCUGAGAUGUGCAUCAACUGCCCAGUUUUGUAUCUGACUCAGAAAGGACAGGUUGGCGGUUUUCACCUCAAGUCAUAUUUGUGAGGCACAGCUGAAACUCUGGUCACAGGGACCGCAAAUAUGUUGUUCUCUAGUAUUACACCAAUAUGUAUUUGAAUGAUUUAAUUUUAGUAUUUGGAUAACUACAUCCUUCAAAUGUACUAUGUGAAUUAUAUAGAGAUAUACCAUGUUAUAUAUUUAUGGUCAGUCCUAUAGAGGAUUACCAUGUUCUAUAAUGAACUGAAAUAUAAAAUGCAACAUGCAACAAUUUCAAAGAUUUUACUGUGUUACAGUUCAUAUGAGAAAAUCUGUCAAUUGUAAUGAAUUCAUUAGGCCCUAAUCUAUGGAUUUCACAUGACUGAGAAUACAGAUAUGCAUGUGUUGGUCACAAGAUACCUUAGAAUAAAAGGUAGGGGCGUGGAUCAGAAAACCAGCCAGUAUCUGGUGUGACACAUCUCCUUCACAUGGAGGUGAUCAGGCUGUUGAUUGUGGCCUGUGAAAUGUUGUCCCACUCCACUUCAAUGGCUGUGUGAAGUUGCUGGAUUUUGGCGGGAACUGGAACACGGUCGUACACGUCAAUCCAGAGCAUCCCAAACAUGCUCAGUGGUUGACAGGUCUAGUGAAUAUACAGGCCAGUGAAGAACAGACAUUUUCUGCUUCCAGGAAUUGUGUACAGAUCUUUGCGACAUGUGGUUGUGCAUCAUCAUGCUGAAACAUGAGGUGAUGGUGGCAGAUGAAUGGCACAAUAAUGGGUCUCAGGAUCUGGUCACGGUAUCUCUGGGCAUUCAAAUUAGCAUAGAUAAAAGGCAAUUGUGUUCCUUGUCUGUAGCUUAUGACGGUUCAUACCAUAACCUCACCGCCACCAUGGGGCGCUCUGUUCACAGCGUUGACAUCAGCAAACCGCUUGCCCACAUGACGCCGUACACAUGGUCUACGGUUGUCCUGGGUUGUCGUGGUUACACGUGGUCUACGGUUGUCCUGGGUUGUCGUGGUUACACGUGGUCUACGGUUAUCCUGGGUUGUCGUGGUUACACGUGGUCUACAGUUGUGAGGCUGGUUGGACGUACUGACAAAUUCUCUAAAACAACGGAGGUGGCUUAUGGUAGAGAAAUUAACAUAAAAUUCUAUGGUAACAGCGUUGGUGGACAUUCCUGCAGUCAGCAUGCCAAUUGUACGCUCCCUUGAGACAUCUGUGGUAUUGUGUUGUAUGGCCUUUUAUUGUCCCCCCCAGCACAAGGUGCACCUGUGUAAUGAUCAUGCUGUUUAAUUAGCUUCUUGAUAUGCCACACCUGUCAGGUGGAUGGAUUAUCUUGGCAAAGGAGACAUUUUCAAUAACAGGGAUGUUAACACAUUUUUGUGCACAAUUUGAAAUGUUUUUUUUUUUUCUUCAGCUCAUGAAACAUGGGACCCAACACUUUACAUUUUAUAUUUUCGUUGAAUGCCCUAUGAACACCUCUGGUUAUGUAUAUUUUUUAAAGUAUUGUGCUUUUACUGUUUGAAAUGGCUCUGUGACAAUCACUAUGCUCCAAUACAAAUAAACCCUGCCUAAAGUGAAGCACCAAUCAACAUCUAAUACUUUCUGAAAGAAAACACUGAAGACAAAAUAGGUGUGUUGACUAAGGCCAAAUCAUGACAGAGCACUGGCCCUAAAAUGGCCCCAGAACAUUCUGAAGAUCUUCCAGAUAUGCAUGUAGUGAUGAAUAGCUAGUUUUGUCUGCAUCUCAGAAUUCAGAAUAUUGUUGAAACUUAAACUUAAACACUUCAAGGUAAUAAUGAGUCUUACACUUCAAGAAUGAAUGCUUGUGUGUGUGUGUGACUGUGUACACACACAGUAGGCUACAUCUACAGCGAUAGCUCUGGCAAUUAAAUUGUGUGCGUUUGUCUUUGUACCAGUGCAGUACCCUCAGAGUGACAGGCAGGCAGUGCUGGAUGCCAGUCUGGAUGUCUGUGUGAAGUGCAGAACGACUGAAGUUCAGAGUAACCAGAAUACCACUGUGGUAAUGCUGUGGCUGUAGGUCACGGUGGUUACAACAGAGACAGAAACCUAGCCAGCGUGGAGGGAAGUCCUGGGACUCUCUCUACACACGUUGGGCUGCUCUUAGAAAAUAAGGCUCUCCCUGGAACCAAAUAGGGUUCUUCUACGAGGACAGCCGAAGAACCCUUUUGGAACCGUUUUCUAAGAGUGUACACGUUCUUGUUGACGUUCUUGGAAUUGGUCUGUGUGUUGGUUUGUUUUUUGGUUUAUGUGUUCGUUUCUUCAUUUAAAAAUAACUUUAAAAGUUCCUUCAAGUGCAGUUGCAAAAACCAUCAAGCGCUAUGAUGAAACUGGCUCUCACCAUAAACAGGGAAGGAAGACUCAGAGUUACCUUUCUUUGCUGCGGAGGAUGGGGAGGCAGGGUAGCCUAGUGGUUACAGCGUUGGACUAGUAACCGGAAGGUUGCAAGUUCAAAUCCCCAAGGUACAAAUCUGUCGUUCUGCCCCUGACUAGGCAGUUAACCCACUGUUCCU
ensembl:lncRNA